GGCUCUAGAGAGUCAUGGUCUAGAGACUCGGGCUCUAGAGAGUCAUGGUCUAGAGACUCGGGCUCUAGAGAGUCAUGGUCUAGAGACUCGGGCUCUAGAGAGUCAUGGUUUAGAGACUCAGGCUCUAGAGAGUCAUGGUCUAGAGACUCGGGAUCUAGAGUCAUGGUCUAGAGACUCGGGCUCUAGAGAGGCAUGGUCUAGAGACUCGGGCUCUAGAGAGUCAUGGUCACAAGACUCGGGCUCUAGAGAGUCAUGGUCUAGAGACUCAGGCUCUAGAGAGUCAUGGUCUAGAGACUCGGGCUCUAGAGAGUCAUGGUCUAGAGACUCGGGCUCUAGAGAGUCAUGGUCACAAGACUCGGGCUCUAGAGAGGCAUGGUCUAGAGACUCGGGCUCUAGAGAGUCAUGGUCACAAGACUCGGGCUCUAGAGAGUCAUGGUCUAGAGACUCGCAGUCUAGACAGUCAUGGUCUACAGACCCGGGCUCUAGAGACCAUCUGACCACUCUCAGGAUGCAAUCUCUUCCCGUCAUGCCCAUAAUCAUCAUCAAAAUUACCGUCACGAUCAGCGCAAUCAUCAUCAUGACCAUCACCUAACGACAACGUCUAACAUCAUGGUUACAAGUUAACAGCACAUAUACACAGGUGAUAGCAUAGGUACACACACACGUACACACACAUGUACACACACUCGUACGCGUGCGCAGGUGUAUGUGUGCCCGUGAACACGCGUGUGCCCGUGAACACGCGUGUGCGUGUCAUUCUUUUUCUCGCCUCAUUUUAAUUUAUAUAUAAAAAAACCACAUGGACGGCUAGAGUGAGCAGGGCGGUUAGUGACACCGACAGAGCAGUGAACAACGCAAAUAAAUAAAGCAGUGUCAUUAACUAUUCAUUCACUAUUCAUCUAGCCAGGUGAGAGCCACGCAAUUGAUAUUCACUAUUCAUAUAGUUAAAUGAGAGCGACCCCGUUGAGAUUCACUAUUCAUCUAGCCAGGUGAGAGCUACCCCACUGAGAUUCACUAUUUAUAUAGCCAGGUGAGAGUGACCCCGUUGAGAUUCACUAUUCAUCUAGCCAGGUGAGAGCUACCCCACUGAGAUUCACUAUUCAUAUAGCCAGGUGAGAGCUACCCCACUGAGAUUCACUAUUCAUCUAGCCAGGUGAGAGCUACCCCACUGAGAUUCACUUCAUCUAGCCAGGUGAGAGCGACCCCACUGAGAUUCACUAUUCAUAUAGCCAGGUGAGAGCUACCCCACUGAGAUUCACUAUUCAUAUAGCCAGGUGAGAGCGACCCCAGUGAGAUUCACUAUUCAUCUAGCCACGUGAGAGCUACCCCACUGAGAUUCACUAUUGAUCUAGCCAGGUGAGAGCUACCCCACUGAGAUUCACUAUUCAUCUAGCCACGUGAGAGCUACCCCACUGAGAUUCACUAUUCAUAUAGCCAGGUGAGAGCUACCCCACUGAGAUUCACUAUUCAUCUAGCCACGUGAGAGCUACCCCACUGAGAUUCACUAUUGAUCUAGCCAGGUGAGAGCUACCCCACUGAGAUUCACUAUUCAUCUAGCCACGUGAGAGCUACCCCACUGAGAUUCACUAUUCAUAUAGCCAGGUGAGAGCUACCCCACUGAGAUUCACUAUUCAUCUAGCCAGGUGAGAGUGACCCCAGUGAGAUUCACUAUUCAUCUAGCCACGUGAGAGCUACCCCACUGAGAUUCACUAUUCAUAUAGCCAGGUGAGAGCUACCCCACUGAGAUUCACUUCAUCUAGCCAGGUGAGAGCCACUCUACUGAGAUUCACUAUUCAUCUAGCCACGUGAGAGCUACCCCACUGAGAUUCACUAUUCAUCUAGCCAGGUGAGAGCUAACCCCCCCUGAGAUUCACUAUUCAUAUAGCCAGGUGAGAGCGACCCCAGUGAGAUUCACUAUUCAUCUAGCCAGGUGAGAGCUAACCCCCCCUGAGAUUCACUAUUCAUAUAGCCAGGUGAGAGCGACCCCACUGAGAUUCACUAUUCAUCUAGCCAGGUGAGAGCCACUCCACUGAGAUUCACUAUUCAUCUAGCCAGGUGAGAGCCACUCCAAUGAUAUUCACUAUUCAUAUAGCCAGGUGAGAGCUACCCCACUGAGAUUCACUAUUCAUCUAGCCAGGUGAGAGCGACCCCACUGAGAUUCACUAUUCAUCUAGCCAGGUGAGAUGAAUAGUGUGCAGACACCAUUGUCUAGACUCUCACCAAUGUGUUAUCACCACUGUGUAGACUCGCCACCUCACCACUGUGUAGACUCACCACCUCACCACUGUGUAGACACUCACCACUGUGUAGACUCAUCACCUCACCACUUUGAAGACUCUCACCACUGUGU